CCUACGGGUGGCAGCAGUGAGGAAUAUUGGUCAAUGGGCGUAAGCCUGAACCAGCCAAGUCGCGUGAGGGAUGAAGGUUCUAUGGAUCGUAAACCUCUUUUAUAAGGGAAUAAAGUGUGGGACGUGUCCUGUUUUGUAUGUACCUUAUGAAUAAGGAUCGGCUAACUCCGUGCCAGCAGCCGCGGUAAUACGGAGGAUCCGAGCGUUAUCCGGAUUUAUUGGGUUUAAAGGGUGCGUAGGCGGCCUUUUAAGUCCGCGGUGAAAGUCUGUGGCUCAACCAUAGAAUUGCCGUGGAAACUGGGAGGCUUGAGUAUGUUUGAGGCAGGCGGAAUGCGUGGUGUAGCGGUGAAAUGCUUAGAUAUCACGCAGAACCCCGAUUGCGAAGGCAGCCUGCCAAGCCAUGACUGACGCUUAUGCACGAAAGCGUGGGGAUCAAACAGGAUUAGAUACCCGGGUAGUC
rnacentral:rRNA from 1 species